UACGUAGGGGGCAAGCGUUGUCCGGAUUUAUUGGGCGUAAAGAGCGUGUAGGCGGUUAGGUAGGUCCGUUGUGAAAACUCGAGGCUCAACCUCGAGACGCCGAUGGAAACCAUCUAACUAGAGUCCGGAAGAGGAGAAUGGAAUUCCUGGUGUAGCGGUGAAAUGCGCAGAUAUCAGGAAGAACACCCGUGGCUAAGGCGGUUCUCUGGGAAUAUCCUGACGCUGAGGAGCGAAAGUGUGGGGAGCGAACAGG
rnacentral:rRNA from 1 species